AUUCCCAGUGAAAAAUGUAUGUAACAAAUUGACAACUGUCUCUAAGGAAACCCAAAAGGGUUGAUUUCAACUGAUUGUAAGACUCAGUACUUCGUUGACUUCAAACAUUUCUUACAUGGUCUCUCAUUCCAUUUCUUUAAAAAAAUACGUUAUUCUUUCCAAUUCUGCUCAGGCGAGUCUAGCCUCAGUCAUGGGUUCCGACCACCAAGCAGCCCCAACACCAUCGCUCCGGUUACGAUUGACAGGCCAGAAACUAAUAUCCAGAUGAUCGCCACAGACAGUGAGGAGCAACACGACCAAACACCCCUUCAAAAACGCGGGAUAUCCAAAAACUCACAGAGCUGGAGCUCAAGUACAAUGACGAGCAGCUCGUAUUCAACGGACGAAAAUGGGGUGAGGAAAACUAUGAGUCGUGCAACCACUCAAAAAAAUCUCCGGGUCGCUCGUCAUCUUGGCACACUGUCGAUUACAACGAUGGAAUUGUGAUUGCAAACGUGGUCAGUCGUGGUCCUGUAGAUAUCAUAGUCCAAGGGCAUAAAGCUUACGUGAACGGGGAUUUGGUUCCUGGGGGUGUGAGUCAGUUAUAUGAGCCUACUUACCAGAGAAGACAGGACGGGAGCUACUGGUUCACCAACCUCCCUGUUGGCUGGGAAAUGGAUGAGAGAGAAAAAAAAUUCUUCAAUGAUAAGAGGAGAAGGAUGAAUGGACAAAGAGAAGACUAUGCAAAUGCUGGACAGGCCAUUAUAAAAUCAGCAGGCAUCACGCAACCUAGUUGGAGCUCCCCGGAUGGGUAUGGAAGGAACGUGGAGAAUCUAUGGGACCUGCCGAAAGCUUAUGGCAAUCAGUUCUCAAAUGACUAUCGGAAUGAAUUUUCUGGAGUUUACGAGAAUCAGCCCCCUUUUUCAGGGGCUCCUUCGGUGACAGGGAUUCAUCGAACAGCGGUGGAUCCAGUCCCCACCCCAGGGGCAAUCGAGGGAGAGGGCGGAGAGACGUGGCACGAGAGGAGGAAAAGAGACGAAGUGGGAAUAACUCUCCUAGAAAAAAAACCGCACAGAGUCCGCGGAGAGUCUCGAUAUAGUUAA
rnacentral:lncRNA from 1 species